rnacentral:rRNA from 1 species
UACGAAGGGGGCUAGCGUUGUUCGGAUUUACUGGGCGUAAAGCGCACGUAGGCGGAUCGUUAAGUCGGGGGUGAAAUCCUGGAGCUCAACUCCAGAACUGCCUUCGAUACUGGCGAUCUUGAGUCCGGAAGAGGUGAGUGGAACUCCUAGUGUAGAGGUGGAAUUCGUAGAUAUUGGGAAGAACACCGGUGGCGAAGGCGGCUCACUGGCUCAUUACUGACGCUCAGGCGCGAUAGCGUGGGGAUCAAACAGG